rnacentral:misc_RNA from 1 species
ACUGACACCAACGAUUACGACGUCAAGAUGCGCAACGUGUUCCGUUUUCUGGAAGAUGGCGACAAGGUGAAGAUCACCCUGCGCUUCCGUGGCCGCGAGAUGGCCCACCAGAACCUGGGCCGCGAACUUCUGGAACGUGUGUCCGAGGAUACCAAGGAAGUCGGCAAGGUGGAGAACUUCCCCAAGAUGGAAGGUCGCCAGAUGGUCAUGAUGAUCGGUCCGAUCCAGCGUUAGCCGUUGUCGAACACCGCGAACCAUCAAGGGCGCCUUCGGGUGCCCUUUUUCGUAGCGAUUUGACACAGAUCAU